AGCGAACGUUAGCGGCGGGCUUAACACAUGCAAGUCGAGCGAGAACGGGGCAACCCUAGUACAGCGGCGGACGGGUGAGUAACACGUAGGUAACUUUCCCUUGAGCGGGGGACAACGGUCCGAAAGGACCGCUAAUACCGCAUACGUUCUUCUGGUCUUAGGGCUGGGAGAGGAAAGCUAGGCUAGCAAUAGUCCGGCACUCAAGGAGAGGCCUGCGUAGCAUCAGCUAGUUGGUGGGGUAAUGGCCUACCAAGGCAAAGACGCUUAGCUGGUCUGAGAGGAUGAUCAGCCACACUGGGACUGAGACACGGCCCAGACUCCUACGGGAGGCAGCAGUGGGGAAUAUUGGACAAUGGGCGCAAGCCUGAUCCAGCCACGCCGCGUGAGUGAUGAAGGCCUUC
rnacentral:rRNA from 1 species